GAUCGAACGGCGUGGCGGCGUGCCGUAACACAUGCAAGUCGAGGCGAAGGCAACCGUUACUUGAUUUCUUCGGGAUGAAAGUAUUGUGACUGGGCGGCGGACGGGUGAGUAACGCGUGGAUAACCUGCCUCAUACAGGGGGAUAACAGUUAGAAAUGACUGCUAAUACCGCAUAAGACCACAGCACCGCAUGGUGCAGGGGUAAAAACUCCGGUGGUAUAAGAUGGACCCGCGUCUGAUUAGCUGGUUGGUGGGGUAACGGCCCACCAAGGCGACGAUCAGUAGCCGGCCUGAGAGGGUGAACGGCCACAUUGGGACUGAGACACGGCCCAG
rnacentral:rRNA from 1 species